rnacentral:rRNA from 1 species
UGAUAGCUUGCUAUCAGGCGUCGAGCGGCGGACGGGUGAGUAAUACUUAGGAAUCUACCUAGUAGUGGGGGAUAGCACGGGGAAACUCGUAUUAAUACCGCAUACGACCUACGGGAGAAAGGGGGCAGUUUACUGCUCUCGCUAUUAGAUGAGCCUAAGUCGGAUUAGCUAGAUGGUGGGGUAAAGGCCUACCAUGGCGACGAUCUGUAGCUGGUCUGAGAGGAUGAUCAGCCACACCGGGACUGAGACACGGCCCGGACUCCUACGGGAGGCAGCAGUGGGGAAUAUUGGACAAUGGGGGAAACCCUGAUCCAGCCAUGCCGCGUGUGUGAAGAAGGCCUUUUGGUUGUAAAGCACUUUAAGCAGUGAAGAAGACUCUUCGGUUAAUACCCGGAGACGAUGACAUUAGCUGCAGAAUAAGCACCGGCUAACUCUGUGCCAGCAGCCGCGGUAAUACAGAGGGUGCAAGCGUUAAUCGGAAUUACUGGGCGUAAAGGGAGCGUAGGUGGCUCUAUAAGUCAGAUGUGAAAUCCCCGGGCUUAACCUGGGAACUGCAUCUGAAACUGUAGAGCUAGAGUAUGUGAGAGGGAGGUAGAAUUUCAGGUGUAGC